AUUGAACGCUGGCGGCAUGCUUUACACAUGCCAGUCGGGCGGCAGCACAGAGGCAACUGUUUCUUGGGUGGCGAGACGGGUACGGGUGUGUAACGCAUCGGAACGUACCGGGGGAUGGGGGAUAACUGUCCGACACUAAUGCCACUACCGCCUACGCCCUGAGGGGGGAAGCGGGGGAUCUUAGGACCUCGCGGUAUUCGCGCGGCCGAUGUCUGAUUAGCUAGUUGGUGGGGUAAAGGCCCACCAAGGCGACGAUCAGUAGCGGGUCUGAGAGGAUGAUCCGCCACACUGGGACUGAGACACGGCCCAGACUCCUACGGGAGGCAGCAGUGGGGAAUAUUGGACAAUGGGCGCAAGCCUGAUCCAGCCAUGCCGCGUGUCUGAAGAAGGCCUUCGGGUUGUAAAGCACUUUUGUCAGGGAAGAAAAGGGGCAUGUUAAUACCGUGCGCUGAUGACGGUACCGGAAGAAUAAGCACCGGCUAACUACGUG
rnacentral:rRNA from 1 species